rnacentral:rRNA from 1 species
GAUGAACGCUAGCGGGAGGCCUAACACAUGCAAGCCGAGCGGUAUUUCUUCUUCGGAAGAGAGAGAGCGGCGCACGGGUGCGUAACACGUGUGCAACCUACCUUUAUCUGGGGGAUAGCCUUUCGAAAGGAAGAUUAACACCCCAUAAUAUAUUGAAUGGCAUCACUUGAUAUUGAAAACUCCGGUGGAUAAAGAUGGGCACGCGCAAGAUUAGAUAGUUGGUGAGGUAACGGCUCACCAAGUCAAUGAUCUUUAGGGGUCCUGAGAGGGAGAUCCCACACACUGGUACUGAGACACGGACCAGACUCCUACGGGAGGCAGCAGUGAGGAAUAUUGGACAAUGGGUGAAAGCCUGAUCCAGCCAUUCCGCGUGAAGGAUGACGGUCCUAUGGAUUGUAAACUUCUUUUGUACAGGAAUAAACCUACUCUCGUGAGAGUAGCUGAAGGUACUGUACGAAUAAGCACCGGCUAACUCCGUGCCAGCCGCCGCAGUAA